UCAUUGUUAAAUACACUUAACAAUAAUUCCAAACAGCAUAUUUAACAGAAAUGAAACAAAAAUAAAACAAAACAAAAAAGAAAUACCUAAAUAUAAAUUAUAUUAACUUUAAGGGGCGUUAGUCAAUACAUAGAAUCGAAAAUUUCCAAGUCAUUUUUAAAUUAAUAUUUAGUAAAAAAGUGCGGUGUGCAGUGCGCACAGCUCCAAGUGUUAAACAGAGAAUCGGAUGAGCGGUUGUAGCAAAGAAAAAAGAAACAAGCUGAUCGGCUCCGAGCCCCAUUCCUGCGUCUGUACCUGAUGUGACUUCCUGAUGUACUGUGAUAGGGGAAAACGCCUCUUUGGGACAGAAAACAUACCCAUACAAAGGGAAAAAUGGUCAUGGCUCAUAUACAACACAUCCGUGAUCUGAGAUAACUGGCUCGAAAAUGACCGAACAACGCCAUCUACAGGCGUUAUGCCAAUUUUAAGGUGGACUGGGAAAUUCCAAUCGGAGGCUGUGAAUCUUACUGUUGCUGGUGUAGAGACCUGAGUGGUUGAUGGUUCGCUCAGCCACAGGACAAGUAGGCAGAGGGGACUGCUUCCUGGUUCUUGCUCCCUCCCUCACUGUUCAGGCAGCGGCGCUUUCCCUGCGCUCCCUCCCCCCUGCAGGCUGGGCUCAUAAACACGUUACACACACAAACACACUUUAAACCAAUAGGAAACUGGACGCACAUUCAAAUACUCCUAUAUUGAAAGUCUGCAGCCACACACACCUCAUGUGUUCAUGGCUCCUCUCCUCUGUCUCCUCUCACAGGGAGAAGAUGAUCUACAGGAUCCUUCUGCUCAUCAGCCUGACCUCCUGUGUCUGAAAUGAAAUGAAUGGUAUACAUAUGUCACCAUGGUAUCCAUGGAGACAUAUAAUUCCUGUUUAAAGUGGAGAGAUGUGCACAGUAAUACUCCAGUAGCACAAGGAGAAGAUGAUCUGCAGGAUCCUUCUGUUCAUCAGCCUGACCUCCUGUGUCUGUGAAACAUGUGUAGUGGAUGUGACAAAGACCUCCUAUCAGACAGAGGAGAACAACAACAUCACACUGGAAUGGAUGUUUUCAACCAAACCCAACAGUUCCUCUACCUCACUUAACAUCCUCUGUAAACUGAUAAGUGAUGUUAAAAUCAGAGUCCUGUAUCAUCUAAGUGAUGGUGUUGAGGUCUCAGAGUCUCAGGAUGGAAAGCUUUCAGGACGAGUUCAGUGUGACAAAGACGCCCUGAGAGAAGGACGAAUCAGACUUCAUGUUUCCAGACUCUGGACUGAUGACUCGGGUCUGUACCAGUGUACAGUGAGAACAGAUUACGAGAAGAGCUCUGGCAGAUGCCGACUCAGUGUCACUACAGCUGUUGAUCAGCCCAAACCUCAGAAACCUAUUGAGAGACCACAACCAGAGAGUCGGAGAAGGAUCGGCCUCUACGUUGGACUGACAACAGCUGUACUACUCGCUGUCUGUGCUGGACUCUACUUUGCCUUCAGACUUCUUUCUAAACCUGAUGAGAGAAGAUGAACACAGUUAUGUUUUGGGGGACAUAAACCUGUAGGACUCAAAACCAUUACAUUUGCUAUUUUAAGCUAUUUAAGUAUCUAUUUACCAAUACAUACAUGUAGGUACAAGAUAUGAAGUUAUGGAAUAAGGGGGCAACAAUUUAUGUACUUAUAAAGAACUUAUACUGUACUUUAUACUUUAACUGACGGGUACUUAUUCUAUUAUUACAGAGUAUGUACAAUUUACUGAGCAAUAAUCUGGAAAUUUGGAAAGAAUUAAGAGAGAAUUAACAUUCUAGUUAUUGUUUAACUACUAGGUACCUAUUCUGUUAUUACAGGGUACAGUAUGAUCAUACUGUAUUUGUAUAUUUGUGGUGAACGUGGAAACUGUCACGUAAGCUUUAAAUGAACUUUCACAGAGUCCAGUAACGAGGCAGAUUCAAGAGCCAAGAGCCAAGGGCCAGAGUCAGAGUCAGAGCCAAGGAGCCGCGUCUGGCUCUGAUGUGGUGAUGUUCAUUUCACAAAUGACCAAACUGCCAUAUCUGUUGCAGAUUAGACACAGAAGGCAGAGGAAUUAUUGCUGGUGUCACUGAAUGUAUCGGGGAUUUCAAAGAAACAUCAGUACUGAAGUUCUGUUUGAGUCUUACAGCUGUUGUGUGUCAGAUUCUUUCCUUUGACUUUAUUGAAUAUCUGCAGAAGCAACAGAAAAUGUAAGUACGUCUAAUAAAGGGUCUGUUUUGUUUUCCUAACAACCCCUAAUCAGUUCAGUUCAAUAUAGGUUUGUGACAGUGGGAAUAUAACUUGUGUAAUUUCUCUCUUUCUAUGACUUUCUCUCUCUCUCUCUCUCUCUCUCUCUCUCUCUCUCUCUCUCUCUCUCUCUCUCUCUCUCUCUCUCUUUAAAUGUAUUCAGAGAUAAACUCUGGUUUCCUGUAAAUGAUGCUGUAGAUUUUCCUUCUCACAUCUGUGAUGACUGAACUUUGACCUCAUGUAUUCAUGACUCCUCUCCUCUGUCUCCUCUCACAGGGAGAAGAUGAUCUGCAGGAUCCUUCUGUUCAUCAGCCUGACCUCCUGUGUCUGUGCAACAUGUAUAGUGGAUGUGACAAAGACCUCCUAUCAGGCAGAGGAGAACAACAACAUCACACUGGAAUGGAUGUUUUCAACCAAACCCAACAGUUCCUCCACCUCACUUAACAUCCUCUGUAAACAGCAGCUGUACUACUCGCUGUCUGUGCUGGACUCUACUUUGCCUUCAGACUUCUUUCUAACCCUGAUGAGGGAAGAUGAAUGAGUUAUAUUUUGGGGGACAUAAACCUGUAGGACUCUGUGGUGCUGGUGGCUGCUUUACCUUUGUUUUUUUCAUGGAUUCGGCGAGUCCUCCCCCUGGCCAAAAGACAGCGUCAGUAAAGAUGGCCUCUUAUACUGUGUCAGGCAGGAAGUGAAAGAGGCCAACUGGGCGUGCCAGAGGGGAGUCUGCCUUUAGGGAUCCAGUUAACUUUAAUUACUUUGGGACUUUAAGUUUUGUUAUUUUUCUUGCUUUGACAAUUAGUUUGGUUGUAAAUAGUUUCUUGAUAUAAAUCUUUGUCGAUUUUAAGGUUAAUUUGUGAUAUAGACUUAAUUGCUUAUUCCUGCCUUAUUUUGCACAUGUUAAAUCUUAUUUUGCACAUGUUAAAUCUUAUUUUGCACAUGUUUUGCCAAUAUUAAAUUGUCUUUCCAAGCUUUCUUUAAAUAUUUUGCUCAGUGUUAACACCAACAGAUAUUACAAGGUAUUUAAUGUUUUUUUUUUGUAAGUGCUUGUGAUUUGAUUGACUUGAUGAAGCUACUAAGUGUGCAAUGGAAUUAAAAUUAUUAUCACUCA